AGGGUUUGAUCCUGGCUCAGGACGAACGCUGGCGGUGCGCCUUAUGCAUGCAAGUCGAGCGAAGCUUUUCAGUAGUUUACUACAGAAAAUGACUGAGCGGCGAACGGGUGAGUAACGCGUGAGCAAUCUACCUUAGUUACAGGGAUAGCCCGAGGAAACUCGGAUUAAUACCUGAUAUUCUUUAUAUUUCGCAUGAAAUUAAAAGGAAAGGUCAGCCGAACUAAGAUGAGCUCGCGUUCUAUCAGCUAGUUGGUGAGGUAAAAGCUCACCAAGGCUACGACGGAUAGCUGGUCUGAGAGGACGAUCAGCCACACUGGGACUGAGACACGGCCCAGACUCCUACGGGAGGCUGCAGCAGGGAAUAUUGUGCAAUGAACGAAAGUUUGACACAGCGACACCGCGUGUGGGAUGACGGAUCUAGGUUUGUAAACCACUUUCAGGAGGGAAGAAGAUGACGGUACCUCCACAAGAAGCCCCGGCCAACUACGUGCCAGCCGCCGCGGUAAUAC
rnacentral:rRNA from 1 species